rnacentral:rRNA from 1 species
UAGGGAAUCUUCCGCAAUGGACGCAAGUCUGACGGAGCAACGCCGCGUGAGUGAAGAAGGAUUUCGGUUCGUAAAACUCUGUUGUUAGAGAAGAACAGCGCAUAGAGUAACUGUUAUGCGUGUGACGGUAUCUAACCAGAAAGCCACGGCUAACUACGUGCCAGCAGCCGCGGUAAUACGUAGGUGGCAAGCGUUGUCCGGAUUUAUUGGGCGUAAAGCGAGCGCAGGCGGUCAAUUAAGUCUGAUGUGAAAGCCCCCGGCUCAACCGGGAAGGGUCAUUGGAAACUGGUUGACUUGAGUGCAGAAGAGGAGAGUGGAAUUCCAUGUGUAGCGGUGAAAUGCGUAGAUAUAUGGAGGAACACCAGUGGCGAAGGCGACUCUCUGGUCUGUAACUGACGCUGAGGUUUGAAAGCGUGGGUAGCAAACAGG